CUUGCGGAAUAUCGUGAUCGUUAACGGAUUUUGUCUUUUUUCGGAAGCGGCGAAGUCACCCGGCUGCAAUGGAUGUCCACCGAUAUGUAUUAGGACGUACAAAACACGCUCUAUACAUGCUAGCUGUCCACUAAACGAUGGGAUUGGUGAACAAAAUCGUUCUUACUUUAGCCAGACAGUGUUUACGUGUGUGUAUGCGUCUACGAAACAAGUUUGAAAACAAUCCAAGAAAUAGACUAAGGGAAUUGCGCUGGAGACAUUAUAUACGUCUACAUGGUGAAACACUCAUAAAUAGAAAGAGAUACACGACAAAGCAGAAAUUACUUGACCUGUGACUGAAGUUUCAAUCUCGCUACGUACGGCACGCCAGUCUUUUCUACGAUACGAAUGGACGACCAUUUUCUACGUCCCUCGUUGGCAACAACACAUUUCCACCAAUUCUAUAUUGACGGACAAUAGUCGUCCAAGUUACGUCACUACCCUGCGAACAGUAACAAGAAAAGACGGCAAAAGUUAGCAGUUGUGAUUACAAAAAAAACGAAAUCACGGGGUCACUAUCAGCAAUGCCGGCCACGCCAAUGCUGUUAUUAUGAUUGCCUAUUCGAAGUCGGCGAAUCGAUUUACACAGAUGAUCGUCCGAUCGCCCCGUCGGCCGACGGUCAUCUGGGGGUUUUGCGUCGCGUUCACACCUCUACGUAUACGCGUUUCCUGCGAUUGUAGAUCAAUAUGGUUAUACGACCGCAACGCA